rnacentral:rRNA from 1 species
CUUGAUGAAAUAUAAGAGGUCCAGCCUGCCCAGUGACCUAGUUCAACGGCCGCGGUAUCCUAACCGUGCGAAGGUAGCGUAAUCACUUGUUCUUUAAAUGAGGACUAGUAUGAAUGGCACCACGAGGGUUAAGCUGUCUCCUUUUUCUAAUCAGUGAAACUAAUCUCCCCGUGAAGAAGCGGGGAUAACACUAUAAGACGAGAAGACCCUAUGGAGCUUAAAACAAAUUAACACCUGCUUCUAUUUAUUCUUAUUCCCGAACUGACACAUAAAACACAGCAUUAUUGAUUUACAGUUUUCGAUUGGGGUGAUCAUGGAGUAAAACCAAACCUCCACGACGAAAAGGGGUACUUCCCUGAGCCAAAAGCUACAACUUUAAGCACUAAAAAAUUAACGCACUUUGACCCAAAAUUUUGAGCAACGAAC